rnacentral:lncRNA from 1 species
GGUCACAGGUCGCGAGGAUAUAGAAAUAAAUGUGAUGACUACCUCCUCAAAACAAGACUUGGCGCGGUUACGGUAGCGGUGCGACGAACCGGUGUGCCCUUUUCAGGUAGCUUACUUUGCCCUGCUUCUCCCUUUUCUUUUUAUCACCUGUAACUAAAGCAAGCUUCUCCUUCUUUUUGCUCGAUCCGCGUCUAGUAGGGUUGAGGGUUCUCCUCUCUUUUUUUUGUGUCCUCCGCCGCAAUGAAUAGUAACUCUAUAUAUCCUUCAAAUUAGGGUGUGUCUUCUUUUUCAUACGUGUGAGAGAUGAGGACAAAAGCGUGUGAACCCAAGGCAACACAAAAGCUGGGUUCUGAAUCAAACCCCCCGACAGUGGCUUGUCCUCUGGCCCUGAUUUCAUGGUCUUGGUGGGGUAAACAUGUACUGGAGUGGGUAGGGAUUUUUUCAGGUAGUGAAAGUUUGCCUUCUCACUCUUAAGUGGUCCCUCUUUCUCGACCCUACACUGAUCACAACAUACAACUUCACUGUUACGUGAAUUUACUCCUUAGCACUUUUAUUAUAUUUCAGGACUUUGUCGUGUUUGGUGGUUCGUCUUGUCACAAUCUUGGCAUUAACAUAAUGUUCUCUUUUGCUUCUAGGUUCAAAAAGGGCGGUCGGACGGACUUGAAGGCAAAGUAACACAAAAAUCAUGGAGCAAACGAAACAUCAAUCGUCGCAGCGGGAGCUUGAUCGGGGAAUUCAACUCAAUGGAAAUAGGAUAACAUAAGGGUCUAGGAAACAAGUCCUGGAUUUCACGCCUCUUCUCUUCUCUCCUCUUGUUGAUUUUGAGAAUACUAAAACUGAUUCUUGUAGCUCACACCAUGCCGACAUUCACUUACGGUAAGCUUUUUCUUCUUUGUUCAUGCCAUCUUAUGUGUGUCGUAGGCUUGGCGAAUUUAUGCUGAAAUUGUUGUGUUUGAUACCGUGCAGGAUCAUCUUUGACAUACACUCUUUGUACCUCUUUGGUUCCUGAAACUUGUUCAUCGCCCGGGGACUUUGAAGCUGCAGCAGCACGUGUGGCCUCCUUAACAGGCAUUGCCGACAUUGCCAUGACAUCAGGCGUAGCACCAGUAUAAACAUUUGACAACUGACCAAACCAUUUAAGAGACGAAUCAACGUUACAAACAUUGAGAUAAAGGUUGUCAUUUAAACACAAGGCUCCUUCCAAUUCCAUUGAUAGUCUUUGUAGAAAUAACAUUCUCAGGAUAACUCGCCAGGUAAAUUUAGCAUAAACAUCUUGCUUAUGGUAUAUGCAGAUGUUCUGAAUACCCCUAGGUUGACGUAUGUAAAAAUCAAGCAUUCUCACACAUUCAUCAACAUUAACAUAAUAGUUAUUUUUGAAUUACUGUAAUCCUUGUUUGGGACUGCUAUGAAUUUCCUGCUACAACUUGUUGUUGGUGCAAUGUUCGACUGACAUUAUUACAUUGUGAAUUGGUAGGUUUGUCAAUAGAAAGCCGCAGGCUUGGUUUCUUGGUGCGCCGCUAAUGAAUAGACUUGGAGGUGUAUCACGGCAUGGUGGUAUGGACUAAUUUACCACAGCAGGAACACUGUAACAUUUUUUCCUUUCCUCCUCAGUGGUGCAAAUUUCACAUAUCUGAAAAUCCUCAUCAGAGUCAAUAGAUUCGCUGUCAGAAUCACUUUCAGGUUCUUCCUCACUUUUUGCAUCACUAGGAGGUUCCCACUUGGCGACUUUUAUGACCCUUCCUUUUAAUGAAACACCAGGGGUUGCAGAGUUCCUUGUGUCUUCGAAUAGUAUAAUAUCUGCCGAGUUCAACACUCGAAGAGCCCUGAAUGUGAUGUCUUCAAGAUUUCCAAUCGGUGUUCCGACGAGAUAAAGACCGGGUUUCAGAUGCUACGGGCGACGAUUAUCUGGUUCGUGUUCCUCCAAGAAGAAUCUGCUGCUAACUAGAAUCAUCUUCCACUUCAAGUUGCUUGCCAAAUUUUCUUAAAGCAAGUGAAUAUAUAGUUUUUCUACUAGCUGAUGUUCUUCCAGUAACCAGUUUAACAGCCGUGGAAAGACUCACGCCAUUUUCAAUUAAUCCUCUUAGAUCAUUCUCAAGUUCGGUGUCAGACGGAGGUUCAGCUUUAGAAUUUGCUUGCCCUUUAAUCAAUAUGGUAAGUUCUCCUUUUGGCAGACGAGUAGAAAAUACAUGGU